GAUGAACGCUGGCGGCGUGCCUAAUACAUGCAAGUCGAGCGAACGGACGAGAAGCUUGCUUCUCUGAUGUUAGCGGCGGACGGGUGCGUAACACGUGGAUAACCUCCCUAUAAGACUGGGAUAACUUCGGCAAACCGGAACUAAUACCGGAUAAUAUUUUGAACCGCAUGGUUCAAAAGUGAAAGACGGUCUUGCUGUCACUUAUAGAUGGAUCCGCGCUGCAUUAGCUAGUUGGUAAGGUAACGGCAUACCAAGGCAACGAUGCAUAGCCGACCUGAGAGGGGGAUCGGCCACACUGGAACUGAGACACGGUCCAGACUCCUACGGGAGGCAGCAGUAGGGAAUCUUCCGCAAUGGGCGAAAGCCUGACGGAGCAACGCCGCGUGAGUGAUGAAGGUCUUCGGAUCGUAAAACUCUGUUAUUAGGGAAGAACAUAUGUGUAAGUAACUGUGCACAUCUUGACGGUACCUAAUCAGAAAGCCACGGCUAACUACGUG
rnacentral:rRNA from 1 species